UGGUGGAGUGAUUUGUCUGGUUAAUUCCGUUAACGAACGAGACCUCGACCUGCUAAAUAGUUGACCGAACUCUUAGGGGUUUGGAUUAACUUCUUAGAGGGACUUUUGGUGAGUAGCCAAAGGAAGUUCGAGGCAAUAACG
rnacentral:rRNA from 1 species